UACGUAGGGGGCAAGCGUUGUCCGGAAUCAUUGGGCGUAAAGAGCGUGUAGGCGGCCAGAUAAGUCCGCUGUGAAAUCUCGAGGCUCAACUUCGAGCUGUCGGUGGAAACUGUCUGGCUAGAGUCCGGAAGAGGAGAAUGGAAUUCCUGGUGUAGCGGUGAAAUGCGCAGAUAUCAGGAAGAACACCUAUGGCGAAAGCAGCUCUCUGGGACGGUACUGACGCUGAGACGCGAAAGCUAGGGGAGCGAACAGG
rnacentral:rRNA from 1 species